GGCAGGCAUCACUGCACCUGGAUGUAAGUUAUUUUUAAAUGUAAGAAUAUUGUGUUUUUUCCAGAGAAGAUACUAGUUGGCCACUUUUAAUUUUAUUUUUGUAACUGAUUAAAAUUUGCAUAGGUCAUGCUUGGGUUUGAAGCCUUCUGGGUCAACUGCAGUAUAGUUAGGUGCGGUAGGUGUCGCUCUUCCCUUAACAAUGUCCUUCUGCUAAUACUGGCAGGAAGUCCCCUAUGAACUGUCCCUAAUUCCAAGUCAAUUAUUUUGUCUAUGAGCUUUGCGUAAUCUCUAACCUUUGAGAAAUAUGUACUUGUAGUUUUUCUUCUUCUGUAAUUUUAAACCAUAAGGGGAUUAAAUUUAGAUAAGGGGACUUACUAUAGUAGAACACAGUCUUUAUUCCUUUCUAUGGAACUUCCGCAUAGCCAUCCUAUAAGAUCUUUAUGGUAAUCUUUUAAGUGCUUCUGGUGGUAUUAUUAGCUCCAUUUUCCAGACGAGGAAGGUGAGUUUAAUCAGAAAGCUUGUCAUUACGGUUAAUUGGUUUAGCUCUCUUUCCCUUCUAUUAGCUAGUUCUAGGAACAGGCACAUGUGUAGUUAAACACUAUUUGUACUUUAAGUGUGUUAAUAUAGAAAUAG
rnacentral:lncRNA from 1 species